GAUGAAGAACGCAGCGAAAUGCGAUACGUAGUGUGAAUUGCAGAAUUCAGUGAAUCAUCGAAUCUUUGAACGCACAUUGCACCUCUCGGUAUUCCGGGAGGUAUGCCUGUUCGAGCGUCAUUUGUACCCUCAAGCUCUGCUUGGUGUUGGGUGUUUGUUCCGCCUCUGUGUGUGAACUCGCCUCAAAACAAUUGGCAGCCGGCGUACUUGUUUCGGAGCGCAGCACAUUUUGCGAUCCAGAUCAACGUACAGCGGCAUCCAAGAAGCCUUAUUUAUCGCUCUUGACCUCGGAUCAGGUAGGGAUACCCGCUGAACUUAAGCAUAUCAAUAAGCGGAGGA
rnacentral:misc_RNA from 1 species